UACGGUCACAUCACAUUAAAACUUCGCUUCUCGCGCGAACUCUGAAGUUAAGCAACGGCGAGUCUAGGUAAGUACCAAGAUAGGUUACUGCUUGGGAAUAACACGUGCUGAAG